GUGCUUGCUUCAGCAGCACGUAUACUAAAAUUGGAAAGAUACAGAGAAGAUUAGCAUGGCCUCUGCACAAGAAUGACAUGCAAAUUUGUAAAGUAUGCCAUAUUUUC